rnacentral:misc_RNA from 1 species
AACGCACAUUGCGCCUCUCGGUAUUCCGGGAGGCACGCCUGUUCGAGCGCCAUUACACACCCCAAGCACGGCUUGAUGUUGGACGGUGUCUGUGAAAGGACACGUCUGGAAGGCAUGGGCGCCGCCGCCGGACCACGAGCGUAGCAAGACGCAAGUCGAUCGCUGUGUGGGAUGAAUCGGUGGAGGCAGCCUUUGACGGUGGUGAAGACCAGCGUCGAGAAGAUAAGUCAAGUUUGGCCUCGGAUCAGGCGGGGAUACCCGCUGAACUUAA